GAUGAACGCUAGCGACAGGCCUAACACAUGCAAGUCGAGGGGCAGCAUUAUUAAAGCUUGCUUUAAUAGAUGGCGACCGGCGCACGGGUGCGUAACGCGUAUGCAACCUACCCAUUACAAGAGGAUAGCCCAGAGAAAUUUGGAUUAAUACUCUAUAGUAUUUACUCUAAGCAUUUAGAGUUUUUUAAAGGAUUCGUUCUGGUAAUGGAUGGGCAUGCGUAUGAUUAGCUAGUUGGUAGGGUAACGGCCUACCAAGGCAAUGAUCAUUAGGGGUUCUGAGAGGAUAGUCCCCCACACUGGUACUGAGACACGGACCAGACUCCUACGGGAGGCAGCAGUGAGGAAUAUUGGUCAAUGGACGCAAGUCUGAACCAGCCAAGUCGCGUGCAGGACGACUGCCCUAUGGGUUGUAAACUGCUUUUAUAUAGGAAUAAUGUUAGUUACGCGUAACUAUUUGAAUGUACUAUAUGAAUAAGCACCGGCUAACUCCGUGCCAGCAGCCGCGGUAAUACGGAGGGUGCAAGCGUUAUCCGGAUUUAUUGGGUUUAAAGGGUGCGUAGGCGGGUUCAUAAGUUAGUGGUGAAAGUCUGUCGCUUAACGAUAGAAUUGCCAUUGAAACUGUGGAUCUUGAAUACAGUAGAGGUAGGCGGAAUAUAUUGUGUAGCGGUGAAAUGCAUAGAUACGAUAUAGAACACCGAUUGCGAAGGCAGCUUACUAUGCUGAGAUUGACGCUGAUGCACGAAAGCGUGGGUAGCGAACG
rnacentral:rRNA from 1 species